rnacentral:rRNA from 1 species
CCUACGGGUGGCAGCAGUGGGGGAUAUUGCACAAUGGGGGAAACCCUGAUGCAGCGACGCCGCGUGAGUGAAGAAGUAUUUCGGUAUGUAAAGCUCUAUCAGCAGGGAAGAAAAAAGACGGUACCUGACUAAGAAGCCCCGGCUAACUACGUGCCAGCAGCCGCGGUAAUACGUAGGGGGCAAGCGUUAUCCGGAUUUACUGGGUGUAAAGGGAGCGUAGACGGCAAUACAAGUCGGAAGUGAAAUACCCGGGCUCAACCCGGGAACUGCUUUGGAAACUGUAUGGCUAGAGUGCGGGAGGGGUAAGCGGAAUUCCUAGUGUAGCGGUGAAAUGCGUAGAUAUUAGGAGGAACACCAGUGGCGAAGGCGGCUUACUGGACAGUAACUGACGUUGAGGCUCGAAAGCGUGGGGAGCGAACAGGAUUAGAUACCCUUGUAGUC